CCUUCUCGGAGAGGAACGGCCAUCUUCGGUGAGGGGGUCUCAGGAGUGUCGCCACUCUGCUCAGAGCAUGCUCCCUAAGAAGACCUUGACCAGCCCCACGUCACACUGAUGCCUGACUCCCUCCACAGUGAGCGCCCUGCCCUCUCUGUACCGCGGUUUCACAGGCGAGCGCUUGCAUGCACUUCCUGCCUCCCUUACUGGAUUGUAAGCUCUACAAAGAUCAGCAGGGGCCAAAAACACUCAGACCCUGGAAUUGCAGUAGGUUUCCAGUCCCCACUACAAAAGAAGAUUAAGGUGAGG